rnacentral:lncRNA from 1 species
AUGGACCCACAGCGCUGCCCCAUAGCGACCCACAGAGACCCACCGAGCCCCAUAGAUCCCAUAGNGAGGAGGAAGGGGUUGGGGGCAGCCAGGAGGAGCUUGGUGGCAUCUUGGAGGAGUUUGGGGACAAGUAAGGGGAGCUUGGUGGCAUCUUGGAGGACCUGGGUGGCACCUUGGAGGACCUUGGAGACAAGUAAAGGCACCUUGGUGGCAUCUUGGAGGACCUUGGGGACACCAAAGGGGACCUUGGUGGCAUCUCAGAGGGGUUGGGGUCACCCAAGAGGAGCUUGGUGGCAUCUUGGAGGACCUUGGUGGCAUCUUGGAGGACCUUGGGGUCAUCCAGGAGGAGCUUGGGGACACCUAAAGGGACCUUGGUGGCAUCUUGGAGGACCUUGGUGGCAUCUUGGA